AUUGAACGCUGGUGGCAGGCCUAACACAUGCAAGUCGAGCGGAUGAAGGGAGCUUGCUCCUGGAUUCAGCGGCGGACGGGUGAGUAAUGCCUAGGAAUCUGCCUGGUAGUGAGGGAUAACGUCCGGAAACGGGCGCUAAUACCGCAUACGUCCUGAGGGAGAAAGUGGGGGAUCUUCGGACCUCACGCUAUCAGAUGAGCCUAGGUCGGAUUAGCUAGUUGGUGGGGUAAAGGCCUACCAAGGCGACGAUCCGUAACUGGUCUGAGAGGAUGAUCAGUCACACUGGAACUGAGACACGGUCCAGACUCCUACGGGAGGCAGCAGUGGGGAAUAUUGGACAAUGGGCGAAAGCCUGAUCCAGCCAUGCCGCGUGUGUGAAGAAGGUCUUCGGAUUGUAAAGCACUUUAAGUUGGGAGGAAGGGCAGUAAGUUAAUACCUUGCUGUUUUGACGUUACCAACAGAAUAAGCACCGGCUAACUUCGUG
rnacentral:rRNA from 1 species